UUUCGUAGAACCCAAAAUCAGGAGUUUGUCUCAGAGAGCUUCACAAGCAGGAAUGCAGCCAAAGCAGUGCGUUGCGCUGAUGGACAGAGGCUGAGCGAGGGGCCCGUGCCUCAAUCAUUAAGGCGGUCUUUGUAAUACCAAAGGUCACUGCAGAUGAAGUGAAACAAUCAUUGUUCAGAGUUGACUUUAUGGAUAACAGUUGCCAAAGUUGUUCAAGUACGUGGAGCAAGACCAGAGGAACCUGCACCAGUAACUGAAGACCUCAGUAACCUUAUGGAGGAAAAAGAAGCAGACGAUGAGAAAGUCCUUACAGCUGUUCCGGGUCAAGCAGCGCCGUCUCCUGAUGAGGAAAACAUGUUUAUUGCCAAAGAACCAGAACCAAUUUCCAGUGAAGAUCACGUCUCUGAUGAUGAUUUCCUUGAAGCAGGUGAAUUAGCUUCCCAGGAGCCUUCGGCUGGAGCCCACCAUGAAUCUUCAGAGGAUGAAACUGUGUCUGAAGAAACUGCCUUCGUGGAGUCAUCUCCAGAGGAAGCUACGGACAACAUCGCCCCAGCUGUUGCUUUUGAGAGUGAACAUUUUGUGGAGAAUACAGCUCCAGAAUCACUAGUCGUAAUCAUUCCAGAGGACAAUGCGACAGAAGAAACUGCUGUUUCUGUGGAGGAUGCAUCUCCAGAGGACUCCAAAGGACUUUCAGCAGCAUCAAUCCCUGUUAUUCCCGUGGGGCUUCAGAGGACAAAGCUCCAGAAGAACCUUUACUUAUAUUCCCAGAAGAAACUGCUGCUCUUCCCAUGAUGCCGAAGGAAGAGAAUUAUUUUGUUCCGGUUCCUGCAAAACUUGAGAGAGAAGAGGCCGGUCAAUGGGAAACCGCUGCAGAGGAACAUGCUUUAUUUGUUCCUGCUGACCUCGCUGAAGAGGACCUGAAUCAUGAGAAAACUGUCUUGAUCAUUGUGGAUCAUAAUGGAGGUACAGUUCAACCUGCUGCAGAACAAACGGCAUCGCAAGUGCCAGCCCCAGAAGAUCUGGUUGACUUUGCCCCUUUGGGUCCCUCAGAUUUAGAGGUGCUAAUCCUCAUCCCGACCGCUUCACACUCGACUGCGAAACGCUCCAGUCAGAGUUGGAGGUCACAGACAGAAGUUGCCAUCAGGACGACAUCAUCUGCAAAAGCAGCGAUGAGAUCCGCAGCCCCGCAAACUGUCCUCC
ensembl:lncRNA